rnacentral:rRNA from 1 species
AACGAACGCUGGCGGCAUGCCUAACACAUGCAAGUCGAACGAGACCUUCGGGUCUAGUGGCGCACGGGUGCGUAACGCGUGGGAACCUGCCCUUAGGUUCGGAAUAACUCCCCGAAAGGGGUGCUAAUACCGGAUAAUGUCUUCGGACCAAAGAUUUAUCGCCUUUGGAUGGGCCCGCGUUGGAUUAGCUAGUUGGUAGGGUAAAAGCCUACCAAGGCGACGAUCCAUAGCUGGUCUGAGAGGAUGAUCAGCCACACUGGGACUGAGACACGGCCCAGACUCCUACGGGAGGCAGCAGUGGGUGAUAUUGGAGCAUGGGCGAAAUCCUGAUCCAGCAAUUCCGGGUGAGUGAUGAAGGGCUUAGGGUUGUAAAGCUCUUUUACCCGGGAUGAUAAUGACAGUACCGGGAGAAUAAGCACCGGCUAACUCCGUG